CCCACAGCAGGGCACUGGGGAGAGGAGCACGGGAAAGGGUGGCCUUGGCCUCGAGGCCAAGACUCAAGCCCAAGCCCAGGGUCUUGCUCAGGUGUGCACACAGUGGGUGCACCCAUGGGAGCCCUGAGCACAGUGUGAGGGCAGAGGCAGUAAUGGUACCUGGUGCCCCUUCUAUCAUCCGAGCGUGCCCUGUGGCUGUGCUGGGUUUGCAAUCCUUUGACACCCAUGGAGGAACCAUGUCAUGCUUAACCCCUGGCCAGGAACUCCAUGCCACACUGCUGCUCACUCAUUGCUUGGAGAGGACUGAAAGGCUGAGUGUGAAUUUUACCCACCCCAUAACUGGAUAGACUGCAUCUGUUCAUUGCUGUUUUUUCUGCAGUCUGUGAAUUGUCUUCCAUCCUGUGCUUCAUUCCAAAUGGACCAGCCUCUGGGGAAUAGUGCAGACUACUACUUUGUGUUGUCACCUAGUGUGCUGACAGGAUGAAGAAAAGUGUUUGGCACAGCCUUUCAUUGGUAACAUAUACUGAUAGACACAAGCGUGUCUCACUCAAGCUGUUCAACAUUUAAAUGUGUAAUUAAAUAUAAUCACUAUCCAUA